GCAAGUCGAACGAGAACUUAGAGCUUGCUCUAAGGGAAAGUGGCAGACGGGUGAGUAACGCGUGGCAACCUACCUAUCAGUACGGAACAACAGUUAGAAAUGACUGCUAAUACCGUAUACGUCCUCCGGGAGAAAGAUUUAUCGCUGAUAGACGGGGCCGCGUUAGAUUAGCUAGUUGGUGAGGUAAAAGCUCACCAAGGCGACGAUCUAUAGCUGGUCUGAGAGGAUGAUC
rnacentral:rRNA from 1 species